GCUUGGAUGGCUCAGCUGGUUAGAGCGCAGGUCUCAUACGUCCGUAUGACCACCCCCUUGUACUGUGAUAGGGACUCGCGGUGGGCAAUCCUGAGGUCGUGAGUUCGAUCCUCACUCCGAGCA